rnacentral:rRNA from 1 species
AUUGGACGCUGGCGGCAUGCCUUACACAUGCAAGUCGAACGGCAGCGCGGACUUCGGUCUGGCGGCGAGUGGCGAACGGGUGAGUAAUACAUCGGAACGUACCCUGUUGUGGGGGAUAACUAGUCGAAAGAUUAGCUAAUACCGCAUACGACCUGAGGGUGAAAGUGGGGGACCGCAAGGCCUCACGCAGCAGGAGCGGCCGAUGUCUGAUUAGCUAGUUGGUGGGGUAAAGGCCCACCAAGGCGACGAUCAGUAGCUGGUCUGAGAGGACGAUCAGCCACACUGGGACUGAGACACGGCCCAGACGCCUACGGGAGGCAGCAGUGGGGAAUUUUGGACAAUGGGGGCAACCCUGAUCCAGCAAUGCCGCGUGUGUGAAGAAGGCCUUCGGGUUGUAAAGCACUUUUGUCCGGAAAGAAAUCGCGCUGGUUAAUACCUGGCGUGGAUGACGGUACCGGAAGAAUAAGCACCGGCUAACUACGUGCCAGCCGCCGCCGUAA